UUGAAAUCGGACAGUGUGGUUAGUUAAAGGAGAGUCUUGUCUUUAAAAUGCUGUGAAAUAGUCAUAUGUUUUAAUAGCCUGCAGAACUGUUGCUGUUGUCAGCUUUAUUGUUUUGUCAAGUGGAUGCUUUACUCCUUUUUUAAAAUUAAAAAUGAGUAUUCACAUACCUGCUGCGCCUUGGUCUUCUCUCCAUGACAACUUCUGUUACAGUCUAUUUGUCAAUAACAUCUGGUGCGCGAUGUCUAAUAUUAAAGAAGCCUUGAGGUAUUGCUCGCCUGAGGUAAAGAACCUUAUGAUAAGCUGUAAACCACACUAUCUACCAAGAGAGUUCUCAUCUGUUUUAUUCGUAGCCAUCUAUUUACCAACACAGAACGAAUCUGGCACUAAUGUUGCUCUCAACCAACUCUAUAAGGCCAUGAGCAAAGAAGAAAAUGCUCACCCAGAAGUGGCGCUCCUAGUGGCCGGGGACUUUAAUGCAGGCAAACCUAAAUCAGUUUUACCAAAUAUUUUCCAGCAUGUCACAUGUGCAACCAGAGAAAAAGAAUCCACGACCUCCUUUACUCCACACACAGAGAUGCAUAGAAAGCUCUACCCCGCCCUCCAUUUGGCAAAUCUGACCAUAAUUAUAUCCUCCUGAUUCCUGCUUACAAGCAAAAAACUAAAGCAGGAAGUACCAGGGUCUCGCUCAAGUGGUCAGAUUACGCGGAUGCUACACUACAGGACUGUUUUGCUAGCACAGACUGGAAUAUGUUCCGGGAUUCAUCCAAUGGCAUUGAGGAGUACACCACCUCAGUCAUCGGCUUCAUCAAUAAGUGCAUCGACGACGUCGUCCCCACAGUGACUGUACGUACAUAUCCCAACCAGAAGCCAUGGAUUACAGGAAACAUCCGCAUCAAGCUGAAGGCUAGAGCUGCCACUUUCAAGGAGUGGGAAACUAAUCCAGGCGCUUAUAAUAAAUCCCGCUAUGCCCUCAGACGAACCAUCAAACAAGCAAAGCGUAAAUACAGGAUUAAGAUUGAAUGGUCAUGACUCACAUCAACAGCAUCCUCCCGGACACCCUAGACCCACUCCAAUUCACAUAUCGCCCCAACAAAUCUACAGAUCUCGAUCGCACUCCACACUGCCCUUUCUCACCUGGACAACAGGAACACCUAUGUGAGAAUGCUGUUCAUUGAUUACAGCUCAGCGUUCAACACCAUAGUGCCCACAAAGCUCAUCACUAAGCUAAGGACUCUGGGACUAAACACCUCCCUCUGCAACAGGAUCCUGGACUUCCUGACGGACCGUCCCCAGGUGGUAAGAGUAAGUAACAACACGUCUGCCACGCUGAUCCUUAACACUGGGGCCCAUCAGGGGUGUGUACUUAGUCCCCUCCUGUAUUCCCUGUUCACCCACGACUACGUGGCCAAACACGACUCCAACACCACCAUUAAGUUUGCUGACGACACAACAGUGGUAGGCCUGAUCACCGACAACGAAGAGACGGCCUAUAGGGAGGAGGUCAGAGUACUGGCAGUGUGCUGCCAGGACAACAAUCUCUCCCUCAAUGUGAGCAAGAUCAAGGAGCUGAUCAUGGACUUCAGGAAAAGGUGGGCUGAACAGGCCCCCAUUAACAUCAAUGGGGCUGUAGUGGAGCGGGUCGAGAGCUUCAAGUUCCUUGGUGUCAACAUCAUCAACGAACUAUCAUGGUCCAAACAUACCAAGACAGGGGUAAAGAGGGCACAACAAAUUAUUUUCCCACUCAGGAGACUGAAAAGAUUUGGCAUGGGUCCCUAGAUCCUCAAACGGUUCUACAGCUGCACCAUCGAGAGCAUCCUGACCGGUUGCAUCACCACCUGGUAUGGCAACUGCUCGGCAUCUGACCGUAAGGUGCUACAGAGAGUAGUGUGAACGGCCCAGUACAAGCUUCCUGCCAUCCAGGACCUAUACAAUAGUCGGUGUCAGAGGAAAGCCCAUAAAAUUGAGACUCCAGUCACCCAAGUUAUAGACUGUUUUCUCUGCUACCGCACGGCAAGCAGUACCGGAGCGCCAAGUCUAGGACCAAAAGGCUCCUUAACAGCUUCUGCCCCCAAGCCAUAAGACUGCUGAACAAUUAAUCAAAUGGCCACCAGACUAUUUACAUUGACACCCCCCCUCCGCCCCCUUCCUUUUUGUACACUGCUGCUACUCGCUGUUUAUUAUCUAUACAUAGUCACUUCACCCCCACCUACAUGUACAAAUUACCUCAACUAGCCUGUACCCCGCACACUGACUCGGUACCGGAGCCCCCUGUAUAUAGCCUCGUUAUUGUUAUUCUUAUUGUGUUACUUUUUAUUAUUACUUUUUAUUUUAGUCUACUUGGUAAAUAUUUUCUUAACUCUUUCUUGAACUGCAUUGUUGGUUAAGGGCUUGUAAGUAAGCACAUGGUAAAGUCUACAUUUGUUGUAUUCGGAGCAUGUGACAAAUAACGUUUCAUUUGAUUUACUUUUACUCAAGUAUGAAAAUUGGGUACUUUUUCCACCACUGCUUGUUUCAUUGUAAAUAAGAAUCUGUUCUUAACUGACUUGCCUAGCUAAAAAAGGUUACAUAAAAACAUUUUUUUUAAAUCUAAAUAAAGGUGAACAAAAAAUAUUAAAUAAAUAUAAACAAAUACUGGGCUAUAUUGUAUGACCAUGUUUCUGUUGUUGUGUCACGUAUACUCCCUCUCCAGCCUCUAGGUCAUCAGGCUGCUGAUUAUCCUCCCUCUCUGACCUCUAGGUCAUCAGGCUACUGAUUAUACUCCCUCUCCAGCCUCUAGGUCAUCAGGCUACUGAUUAUACUCCCUCUCCAGCCUCUAGGUCAUCAGGCUACUGAUUAUACUCCCUCUCCAGCCUCUAGGUCAUCAGGCUGCUGAUUAUACUCCCUCUCUGACCUCUAGGUCAUCAGGCUGCUGAUUAUACUCCCUCUCCAGCCUCUAGGUCAUCAGGCUGCUGAUUAUCCUCCCUCUCUGACCUCUAGGUCAUCAGGCUACUGAUUAUACUCCCUCUCCAGCCUCUAGGUCAUCAGGAUGCUGAUUAUCCUCCCUCUCCGACCUCUAGGUCAUCAGGCUGCUGAUUAUCCUCCCUCUCCUUCCUCUAGGUCAUCAGGCUGCUGAUUAUCCUCCCUCUCUGACCUCUAGGUCAUCAGGCUGCUGAUUAUUCUCCCUCUCUGACCUCUAGGUCAUCAGGCUGCUGAUUAUACUCCCUCUCCUUCCUCUAGGUCAUCAGGCUGCUGAUUAUACUCCCUCUCCUUCCUCUAGGUCAUCAGACUGCUGAUUAUCCUCCCUCUCCAGCCUCUAGGUCAUCAGACUGCUGAUUAUCCUCCCUCUCUGACCUCUAGGUCAUCAGACUGCUGAUUAUACUCCCUCUCCAGCCUCUAGGUCAUCAGGCUGCUGAUUAUCCUCCCUCUCUGACCUCUAGGUCAUCAGACUGCUGAUUAUCCUCCCUCUCUGACCUCUAGGUCAUCAGACUGCUGAUUAUCCUCCCUCUCCUCCCUCUAGGUCAUCAGGCUGCUGAUUAUCGUCCCUCUCUGACCUCUAGGUCAUCAGGCUGCUGAUUAUCCUCCCUCUCCUUCCUCUAGGUCAUCAGACUGCUGAUUAUUCUCCCUCUCCAGCCUCUAGGUCAUCAGACUGCUGAUUAUACUCCCUCUCUGACCUCUAGGUCAUCAGGCUGCUGAUUAUCCUCCCUCUCUGACCUCUAGGUCAUCAGACUGCUGAUUAUUCUCCCUCUCCAGCCUCUAGGUCAUCAGGCUGCUGAUUAUACUCCCUCUCCAGCCUCUAGGUCAUCAGACUGCUGAUUAUCCUCCCUCUCCAGCCUCUAGGUCAUCAGGAUGCUGAUUAUACUCCCUCUCCAGCCUCUAGGUCAUCAGGAUGCUGAUUAUACUCCCUCUCCGGCCUCUAGGUCAUCAGGCUGCUGAUUAUCCUCCCUCUCCAGCCUCUAGGUCAUCAGGCUGCUGAUUAUCCUCCCUCUCUGACCUCUAGGUCAUCAGGCUGCUGAUUAUCCUCCCUCUCCUUCCUCUAGGUCAUCAGGCUGCUGAUUAUCCUCCCUCUCUGACCUCUAGGUCAUCAGGCUGCUGAUUAUCCUCCCUCUCUGACCUCUAGGUCAUCAGGCUGCUGAUUAUACUCCCUCUCCAGCCUCUAGGUCAUCAGGCUGCUGAUUAUCCUCCCUCUCUGACCUCUAGGUCAUCAGGCUACUGAUUAUUCUCCCUCUCCAGCCUCUAGGUCAUCAGGCGACACAUCUCCUUCGCAUAGAGUUGAUCAGGCUGUUGAUUGUGGCCUGUGGAAUGUUGUCCCACUCCUCUUCAAUGGCUGUGCGAAGUUGCUGGAUAUUGGUGGGAACUGGAACUCGCUGUCGUACACGUAGAUCCCAAACAUGCUCAAUGGGUAACAUUUUCAGCUUCCAGGAUUUGUGUACAGAUUCUUGUGACAUGGGGCCGUGCAUUUCCAUGCUGAAACAUGAGGUGAUGCAGCGGAUGAAUGGCCUGACAAUCGCCCUCAGGAUCUCAUCACGGUAUCUCGUGCAUUAAAAUUGCCAUCUAUAAAAUGCAAUUGUGUUUGAUGUCCGUAGCUUAUGCCUGCCUAUACCAUUAUCCUACCACCAUCAUGGGGCACUCUGUUCACAAUGUUGACAUCAUCAAACCCCUCGCCCACACAAUGCCAUACACGCUGUCUGCCAUCUGCCCGGUACAGUUGAAACCGGGAUUCAUCUGUGAAGAGCACACUUCUCCAGCGUGCCAGUGGCCAUUGAAGGUGAGCAUUUGCCCACUGAAGCCGGUUACGAUGCCAAACUGCAUUCAUGUCCCUGGUGAGGACUAUGAGCACGCAGAUGCGCUUCCCUGAGUCGGUUUCUGAAAGUUUGUGCAGAAAUUCUUUGGUUGUGCUGUCCGGGUAUCCGGGUGGCUGGUCUCCGACGAUCCCGCAGGUGAAGGAGCUGGAUGUUGAGUUCCUGGGCUUGCGUGGUUACACAUGGUCUGCGGUUGUGAGGCCUGUUGGACAUACUACCAAGUUCUCUAAAAGACGUUGGAGAUGGCUUAUGAUAGAGAAAUUAACAUUUAAUUCUCUGGCAACAGCUCUGGUGGACAUUCCUGCAGUCAGCAUGCCAAUUGCAUGCUCCCUCAAAACUUGAGACAUCUGUGGCUUUGUGUUUUGUGACAAACAUGCUCAUUUUAAAGUGGCCUUUUACUGUCCCUGGCACAAGGUGCACCAGUGUUAUCAUCAUGCUGUUCAAUCAGCUUCUUGAUAUGACACACCUGUCAGGUGGAUGAGAACUGCUCACUAACAGGGAUGUAAACAAAUUUGUUCAGAAAAUGUGAGAGCUCAUGAAACAUGAACACAUUUUGUUCAGUGUAUGUUGUAUUUUUGGGGGUUGAUCUUCAUCAAGGGUGCCAGAGGGGUUGGGUUAAAUGCGGAAGACACAUUUCAGUUCAAGGCAUUCAGUUGUACAACUGACUUUGUAUCCCCCUUUCCUUUUCCUUUCCAAUAAUUGUGGAGGUGACUGUAUAGCAUCGGAGUUACAGUGUUCAGCUAUCUCCUUUUUCUUUUUCAGCUCAUUAUCUGCCUUGUUAGCAUCACAAGACUAUUUUAGGACUUCACUUCCACCCUCAUAAAACAGUACUUGAUAAAUAUGUGGGUGGGGGGGGCUGGCGCCUUAAAGAAGUGUCCAGACCACUCUGGAGUUUGGUGUAUCCGGAAUGACAUCCUCAAGAGGACAUCUAGUUAGAAUGUAAUAAGUGGCGCCAAUGGCAAACGUGUUUUAAGGAUAUACAAUAAACAAUCUUAGGUAGUCUUUCAGGGCUUAUACAGGUGGGUAAUUAUUGUGGGUUUAAAAAGAAAGUUGAAACCAUCAACAAAUCCCCUUUCUUGGUUCAAUCUCAAUGGAACCUUCUCUUGAUUUACUGUGUCAAAUUUUUCGACUGAGCUGACAGGUUUAAAUGUAGAGACCUAAAGCAGUUGUGUGUUUAUAAAAUAGUAAUGUUGCUAGGUGUGUCAGAGAGGGAAAGAGGGAGAGAGAGGGGGAAGAUGAGAGAGAGGGACAGUGAAAGGCUAAAGAGAAGGAAGGAGGGUAGGUGUCAGGCCCUCAUGAGUUUGUUUAUGGUGAGAUGUCUUAAUCAGUGCUACUCCACUUCCUGUGUCUGAGACACAUGCAAGAUUCCUCCUAACUAACGCUUUGUUUUCAAUCACUCUCUAUCACUGUCAGUCUCUCUUGCCCUUUCUCUCUCCCUCUCCCUCUCUCUCUUUCUCUCCCUCUCCUCUCUGCUUGCUCUCUCUCCCUCUCUGUUCUCUCUCUUACUGUCCCUUUUCUCUCUCUCUGUUUGUUUGACUAGAGUUAUGAUAUGUCUAAUUUUAGCUUGAUGUUCCUGUUGAGAAUGUAAUAUGACCGAUGUCAUUGACUGAUCCUGAUGGGGUCACACACAUAAUCUCAUCUGUGGAAUGUCUUUGUCAACAGUCCAUUUGAUGUUGUCUGUGUUGAUCGCUAUGCAGAUGAGGGUUAGGGGUCAUGCCAAUAUGGUUCCUGGAAACUUUGGACACUUCAUACCCGCUAGUAUUGUUCUAAAUAAAGUCUCCACUGUUAUCUCCUUUCACAUGAACAGGGGUUUUAUGUUUCUGAUAUGAAAGAAGUGAGGUCCUCAUCUUUAUUGUCUUUUGAUGAACUUGUAUGACCUAGUCGGUCAUUUUAAGAUAGAACAACAGAUAUUUCCAAAACCAUAAGAAACAAAUAAUCCAUUAUAACUAUGCUCUCCUGGACUAAAACAUUUCUAUUUAAAACAUUUCUAUUCUACCUUAUCUCUAGGAGGCACCAAAGAAGUGCUGAAUGUGAAGAGACUAAUUCAACAAAAUAAAACAACAUCAAUUAACAACACUGCCACCAACCAAAACUUUGUGUCACUCACCCACAGUUGAUUGGGCAAUGCCAAGUAAGUCAGCAUUUCAGCAACAGCACCCAACAUCUGGUCUGUCCGUCCCUGGAUCUUCUGAAGAGCGUUCAUCCUUCCUUCAAUACCUCUCUUAUUCUACUUCCCCCUCUCGUUCUUCCUUUCCCCUCCUGAAAGUCCUCACUCUGUUUUUGCCCAUCUCUCUCCUCAUUCAUUCUCUCUUGUUUUCUCCUCCUCUCCUCCACAGUGUCACUAUUUCUCUCCUCCUCUCCUCCAGUCUGUCACUAUUUCUCUCCUCCUCUCCUCCACAGUGUCACUAUUUCUCUCCUCCUCUCCUCCACAGUGUCACUAUUUCUCUCCUCCUCUCCUCCAGUCUGUCACUAAUUCUCUCCUCCUCUCCUCCACAGUGUCACUAUUUCUCUCCUCCUCUCCUCCAGUCUGUCACUAUUUCUCUCCUCCUCUCCUCCACAGUGUCACUAUUUCUCUCCUCCUCUCCUCCAGUCUGUCACUAUUUCUCUCCUCCUCUCCUCCACAGUGUCACUAUUUCUCUCCUCCUGUCACGUCCUGACCAGUAAUAGGGGUUAUUUGUAUUAUUUGGUCAGGGCGUGGCAGAGGUAUUUUUGUUUUGUAUGGUGGUUUUUUUUUGUGUAUAGCUUAGAGGGGUGUGUUAUUUAUGUGUUCCGGGGUUUUGUGGUGUAUGUUUUAGUAUGAGUAGGUUCUAGGUUAAGUUUUCUAUGUGCAGAUUUGGUUGCUGGACUCUCAAUUGGAGGCAGGUGUUUCUAGUUGCCUCUGAUUGGGAGUCCUAUAAGUAGGUGUGUGUUUUGUUUGUCACUUGUGGGUAGUUGUAUGUUAGCACUGCUUUUGUUUAGCCUGCUACACUGUUCCUGUCGUGAGUUUUGUUUAUAGUUUUUUUUCCUCGUGUUCACAUUUAAAAUAAAUGAUGAUGAGCAUGCAAUCCGCUGCAUAUUGGUCCACUUUGUCCGACAGCGAUUUUAACAUCUUCUGACGAAGAGGAAUGUGACACAGAGGGUAUUUGUUUUAUGUGGUUCGGGGGAUAUGAGUAUUAUAGAGGGGUGUUUUAUUUAUGUAUUACGGGGUUUUGGUGUAUGUUCUGGGUUUUGUAUUCUAGGUUGGUUUUCUAGUUUGUUUAUUUCUGUGUGGCUCCCGAUCAGGAACAGCUGUACAUCGUUGUUCCUGAUUGGGAGUCAUAUAUUAGUUGCGUGUUUUCACCUGGGGAUUUGUGGGUAGUGUAUUUCGCACUGCUGUGAGUAUUAGCCUGUGAAACUGUUGGUCUGUCGUUCUUUGUUUUCUUUUUUUUUCUGUGUUCACAUUUAUUUAAUAAAAUAUAAUGAUGAACAUGCAACCCACUGCGCCUUGGUCCUCCCUCUCCUACGACAGCCGUUACAGAACUACCCACCAAAAAUGGACCAAGCAGCAGAGGAGGGAGCAACCGAUGGACUAUCGUGAGACAUGGGCAGAACUGAGGAUAAGCAUUUCCAGGGCUAUGGAGGAGUUAAGGGAGCCUGAGAGGCAGCCCCAAUAAUGUUUUGGGGGGGGGGCACACGGGUAGUUUGGCUGGGCGAGGAUUGAGCCCCAGGCCAAAUCCCCGUACCUUUUUUGGGCAACAUAUGACUGGACAGGUCCCGUGCUUUGGGGUGAUGGGUGCUGUGGCGAGGCCGGGUAUUUUCAGGCCGGUAUGCGCAGUACCAGCACCCCGCAUGUGCCAGGGGAAAGUGGGCAUCCAGCCAGUAGGGGUGAUGCCAGUCCUGCACUCGAGACCGCCAGUGCGCCUCUACGGUGUUGCGUGUUUCCCGCUACACACACUAGCCUUGAGGUCUCCAGGCUGGCACGUCCAGUACCAGCACCACGCAUCAAGCUUCCAGUGAGUCAGCCCAGUCCAACUCAGCCUGUCCCCGCUCCCCGCACUAGCCCGGAGGUGCGUGUCCCCAAACUGGC
rnacentral:lncRNA from 1 species